GGUGGCUCAGUGGUAGAGCACGUGCCUUGCAUGCUCGAGGCCCUGGGUUCAAUUCCUCAGCACCA
rnacentral:tRNA from 1 species